rnacentral:rRNA from 1 species
AUUGAACGCUGGCGGCAGGCCUAACACAUGCAAGUCGAGCGGAUGAAGGGAGCUUGCUCCUGGAUUCAGCGGCGGACGGGUGAGUAAUGCCUAGGAAUCUGCCUGGUAGUGGGGGAUAACGUCCGGAAACGGGCGCUAAUAUCGCAUACGUCCUGAGGGAGAAAGAGGGGGAUCUUCGGACCUCACGCUAUCAGAUGAGCCUAGGUCGGAUUAGCUAGUUGGUGGGGUAAAGGCCUACCAAGGCGACGAUCCGUAACUGGUCUGAGAGGAUGAUCAGUCACACUGGAACUGAGACACGGUCCAGACUCCUACGGGAGGCAGCAGUGGGGAAUAUUGGACAAUGGGCGAAAGCCUGAUCCAGCCAUGCCGCGUGUGUGAAGAAGGUCUUCGGAUUGUAAAGCACUUUAAGUUGGGAGGAAGGGCAGUAAGUUAAUACCUUGCUGUUUUGACGUUACCAACAGAAUAAGCACCGGCUAACUUCGUG